rnacentral:rRNA from 1 species
GUGCCAGCAGCCGCGGUAAUACAGAGAGUGCGAACGUUGUUCGGAAUUACUGGGCUUAAAGCGCACGUAGGCGGCGCCGCAAGUGUUGGGUGAAAUCCCACGGCUUACCCGUGGAACUGCCUGGCAGACUGCGGUGCUAGAGGAUGGUAGGGGAGAGCGGAACUCCUGGUGGAGCGGUGAAAUGCGUAGAUAUCAGGAGGAACACCGGUGGCGAAGGCGGCUCUCUGGUCCAUGACUGACGCUGAGGUGCGAAAGCUAGGGGAGCAAACGGGAUUAGAUACCCCGGUAGUCC